AUGGGUACUUGUACCUGAUGACGACCGGCUCUCGGGUGCGUAACGCGUAUGCAGCCUACCCACAACUGGGGAACAGCCCGGGGAAAUCCGGAUUAAUGCCCCAUAACGCAGGGGUACCGCCUGGUACUAUUUGCUAAAGAUUUAUUGGUUGUGGAUGGGCAUGCGUCUGAUUAGUUAGUUGGUGAGGUAACGGCUCACCAAGACGACGAUCAGUAGGGGGUCUGAGAGGAUGAUCCCCCACACUGGCACUGAGAUACGGGCCAGACUCCUACGGGAGGCAGCAGUAGGGAAUAUUGGGCAAUGGAGGCAACUCUGACCCAGCCAUGCCGCGUGAAGGAUGAAGGCCUUCUGGGUUGUAAACUUCUUUUAUACAGGAAGAAAAAGGCCAUGCGUGGCCAAUUGACGGUACUGUAUGAAUAAGCACCGGCUAACUCCGUGCCAGCAGCCGCGGUAAUACGGAGGGUGCAAGCGUUGUCCGGAUUUAUUGGGUUUAAAGGGUGCGCAGGCGGUGCGUUAAGUCAGUGGUGAAAUCCCUCAGCUCAACUGAGGAACUGCCAUUGAUACUGGCGUACUUGAGUACGGACGAGGUAGGCGGAAUUUAUGGUGUAGCGGUGAAAUGCAUAGAUACCAUAAAGAACACCAAUAGCGUAGGCAGCUUACUAGACCGUAACUGACGCUCAUGCACGAAAGCGUGGGGAGCGAACAGGAUUAGAUACCCUGGUAG
rnacentral:rRNA from 1 species